UUUUGAAGUCUUUAGAGAACUGUGAUCUUUGUUCCACCACUGGGGAAAGAGGACAUCUUUGCACGUGUCUGGCAUUGUUCAUGACAACACGGCGACCGAAAUAAAGCAAGAGUUUCUGGGAGUAGCAUUAGGAUGCCGCACUCCCGCUGUGCUCACCAGUUCUCUGCUCUGCACAGCUGCCUUCUCAGCUGGGGGUUUGAAAUCAGCACUGUGAGAAGAGACAGAAAUGACUGUGAUGCAUGCCCCUCACUAUGAGGAAAAGGUAUGGUGUAUCCUGAGAGGAAAAGGAGCAAAGACGUCCUAGAAGUUGAAGCUACUCUCCGGAUCCCACAACCAUCAUACCGUCCUCUUUGCUCUCAUGUUGCACACUCACCUGAAGGAGCUGGAAGAAUGCUAAUAAUGGCAAGUGCUCUCAGAGUGCCUGGAAGCGAUUUCAAGGCAGAUUGUGAUGUUGAAAGAAGCUGCAUCCAUUUUGUGUCCAUGAAGAAAGAAACAUGAACAAUCGAAAGAAGAAUUCCAGAAAUGCCAAUCUCAAUUUGAUUAAACAGAGAAAUGAUGCUUGUUGAACAUCAAGCAUCAUUAAAAAUUUUCACACAUAUAUAAUAAUUGUACAUUUUUAUGGGCUGUGAUACACUACUUUUAUGGAUAUAGGUCCUAAAAUUAUUCCACUUUCAUUAAAAGUGGUAAUAUGUGGCUUUGUUCAGUUGAGAACAUUCCUAACUGAAGCCAUGUGUAUUCACAUACAGUAAAUCCAUUAGAGAUUGUUGACAGGUGAAUAUUAUGUUAUAAAAUAACACACUUACCAAUAAAGUUAAAAGUAAUUGUGGUACUUGAACGUAUGGUGAUCAUUUUAUUUGGUAACCAAAAAAGAAUUAAAGAAAUUUCUUGUAUCAUUCCAAGAUCUGUGACCAAAGGACACAUUUGAGGUUUUUCACAUAAAAUACAGAGUUGCAAUAUCUUUCUGGUUC